UGCCCGGGCCCCGAUUGGCGCCGCGCGGCGCCGCCCGGCCCCCGGUAUAAGGCGGUGGCGCGGGCGGGGAAGGAGCUCCUGCGGCCGCGGCGAGGCUGGGUAAGAGCGAGAAGGAAGACUUGCCAGACAAGAUCCAAAACCAGUGUGACCUUCACCUUUCUAAUACGGUGACUCAGAAACACUGCGUAGAGGACUCCUAGCCAGAGCUGUUUGGUCAAGGAGUUUGAAGAUGCAUCGAGACUGAUAGUGAGGACAGAGCAAUCUCCUAAAGAAGAGCACAGCCUGAACUAUUGGCCAUGUCUAUCACAGAUCACAGCCCCACCACCGGAGUUGUGACUGUCAUCGUUAUCCUGAUCGCCAUCGCGGCUCUGGGAGCCCUGAUCCAGGGCUGCUGGUGCUACCUGCGGCUGCAGAAGCUCAGCCAGUCUGAGGAUGAGGAAAGCAUUGUGGGUGAGGGAGAAACCAAAGAGCCCUUUCUGCUGGUGCAGUACUCUGCUAAAGGACCCUGUGUGGAGAGGAAAGCAAAGCUAACUCCAAACAGCCCUGAAGUACACAGCUAACUUGGAGCAACAUGUGCAGAUGGACUAUAUGCUCGUGACAUGUGUAACUAGCAGAAGCAUUUCAAUACUGUGAAGAACUUGGUCAUGUGCACAUUACUCAUCAGAAAACACCCUGAUGAGAAUUAAAUAAGCUUUGUUUGCAACUGCAUGCACUGAGAGGUUGCACUUUGCAUCGACUGCGUAUCCUAAUUCCUCUAUGGCAGGAGCUGACUCGCCUGGUGUAAUGUCCAUUGCUGGCAAUGGGCACAGGAAUAUACUGUGUGAAGAGACUACUACUGUUUUUUGUUACUUGAAUGUUUAGCUGAGCCUAUUUUGAUAGAGCUACUACUGUAAUGUGAACUACUUCAGAACUGUAAACUGUAUAUAGCUGCCAGAAACUUCUUGCUUUGUGUUCUGUAGCAUAUGGGAAUAUGAUGCAACUACAUAUAAUACACAGGGGACUCCAGACCAUCAAAACUGAAUCUGCAGUUAAAACUUUCUUCUGCUACUAGAUUGAGUAUGCAAAUACUAAGUCAGAACUCAUCCUUUAAGCAGUUUAUUGGGCUGAUGCAGAGUACUUAAUUUGAAAAGAAGGGAUAAGCCUUCAGUAAUAUGCUGAAUGAAGAAACAUAGGAGCUACAAGAAAGGAAGAGUUCCUUUAGCUGCAGCUAUGUUGGUUAAGCUUUUGGCUGCUAGAACUGAGUUCUGUGUGUAGCUACUGCAAGGAAACUGCCAUUUUGAUGGGUUCCAACCUGGGAACUUAUGAUGGAUACUGAACCCUCAGGGAAUGUCCAGAAGGUUUCCAGGUGUUUGAAAUGGCAGUAGAGCAGGCUUGUCUUCCAUAGGCCAGUCUGUGUGCUAAAACUGCAGAAGUGUUUACUUAGCAAAACUGGCUUAAGUGCAAGUAGAAUGAAUUCUUCCUAGAACCCUGGUUUGUGUACUUAGGGUGUAUGUUAACAGCCUGUUACAAAAAGGCAUUUUAGUCUACAGCCAGACAACUCUAGAAUUCAGUUAAUGUACCUUGUAUAUAACUUUUGGUUUAACUGUUCUACAACAGGAGAAGUUUCAGUCUUUUCUACUGUUGAUAGGGACAAGGUUAUUGCUGGUCAGUUUGUAAAAGCUUUUAGCUAGCAAUGGCCAAGUCCUUCCAGAUAACAUGCAUUUCCUGCUCUGUGCUGAAGUUCAGCUAUGGGAACUGUAAAAAGGUGACGAAUGGGAAGUUCUGGACUGCAAUGGUUUGGGGGGGAGGAGAAGGAACAACACUGAGCAGCCAAUGGCAGCUUACAUAUUCCAAAACUGUGUAGGCACACCUGCUUAGAGGUCACUGGCCUGUUUUCUAUUACUUGAUACAUGGCCUCCUUUGCAUACUGAAAUUUUUAAACACUUAAUUGCCUAGCCUUAAUUCCAGAGGAAGCAUUAGACUUGCUUCUUGUACCUGUACAUAUGGAAUUACUUAAGGCCUAGCAAGCUUGCUUGACUAUAUGCAAGACAAGAACUGUCUAGACAAAAAGUCGUCCCCUUCUUCUACACUAAGAUGUUGAAUUGCUUUGUUAGUGGUACAUUUGCUUUUUUAAAAUUGAAAGCUGUCAUUUGAAGCAAAAGAAAUGCUGUCAGAAGCAAAAAAGUAGCAAAAAGCUCCUGCUGUUGCCUUUUGAGUACAACAUAUCGGGUACAGCUGGUAAUGUUCUUACCCUGACACAUGCUUUUUAAGAUACUGCUCUCAAGCGAUUUGCAUGUAUAGUCAGACCUGUACACUUAAAUUGCUGUAUUUGACAUGUCUUAAAAGCAAAGAAAAAAAGAUUAAUUCAGUGAGACUUCCUCUAGUUUUCAGUAGAGAACGUUCACACACAGCUCUUGUGGUUUCCAGACAGUCAGAAUACCAGUAUACAAAAGUGAUACAAAGUGCUGAAGUUCUAGGACAGAACAGUAGUUGCAAGAUGACUUUGUCCAUUCAAGUUUACUGAUUACACAGAUGAAAUACCUAUUUUAAUUCAGCAAAGAGAAUGCAGUGUAAAGGGCAAACUUCAGAAAUUAUGGAAAAGUAUAAAUCAAAGGUCUGAUUUUCCUUCUAGCAGCUGUAAGAGAAAACUAGUGAAAACUAACUGGUCCUUAGUCAGGGGCAGCAGUGUACAGCGCCUCUACAAACCAGUAUCUUUAAUUUAAAUGGAUAGGUGUUUGCAAGUUAGUGCAAUAGUAAAGUGCAGAAAGUGUUUUCCAUUCUUUUCUUAAGAUGGGGCUAUCUAAUAAGUUGUUCAAGUAUACAAAAAUAUUCCAUUUGAUUUUUCUUUUUCCAGAUCAUGUGGGGGAAGAAGUCUUUAUUUACAAUGAAUGUCAAUAAAAUUUGCAUAAAUACCUACCCAAUACUGCAUCAUUUGACUUUGUGUAAGAAUUAGUCUGUCCUAUUUCCACUACUGUGCUCUGUCUCUAUGGUAUCAAUAUUAUCAAUCCUUUUUUCCUCUAAAGCAGCAGUAGCUGUUGAAAGUGAUAUAUCAUUAUCUUCAGAAAGUGUUUGCUCAGAUUGAAGGGAUUCUUUAAUUUCGUCUUUGCUUUGUAGCUUUCCUCCUCUUGAUGCCACCAGAAUUCUCAGUAAAGCAUUUUCUUUAAGGAGGUUUUCUGAUGCAUCAGCUAAUUCUUGAAGCUUUUCAGCCAUUUCUAACAAUUCUUGAUUCUUCUGGUCAUAUGUGGCCUGUAACUGCUCACUGUGGAGCUGCAGAGUCUUGUGCUGCUUUUCCAGUGUGUGUUUUUGCUGCUGUAGUCUCUGCUCCUCUCUCCUGGCUUCAGAAAGCUGUGCUUCAAGCUGGUCAUGGGCCUGAUGAAGGGCACUGAUUUCUGAUCUUAACUUCUGAAUUUCUCUUUCUAAGUGUGAGAUGUGUCCUUGCUGUAGAACUGACUCUUUAUGUAGGCAUUCUUUGGUACAAGGCUCUGAUGAAGAAAGACUUGAGUGAUGUAAAAUAAAUUUCAGGAGAUUAGGAAGGUUAACUGAAAAGUCUUCAGGGAACUUCACACUUUGCUCCUUCCUAGAAGGACAGAACAAGUUAAUAGUAAAAUACUCAGGGAGAUUAAGGAUAAUUUUACCUAAGCAUGUGCUGUUCAACUUGAUACGUUAUUUUUUUAUCAGGUUAAGUACAACAGCUAGGAGAUACCUAAACUCAUGUAAUAAAAGAUAAAGCACACAGAUUUUCUUCUGAUGAACAUUUUUUCCUGUGUUCCAGUCUGGGUGCUGUAAGCAUCUCUGCAUGGGACUGGUAUUUGAAGAAAAAAAUUCUAUUAAAUCUCAGAAAAUACAUUUUACUCUUAAAAAAUGAUCAUGAGUUAUGAGCUUCAAGUACAUAGGGCAGCAUCACUGUGAGAUCAGAGCACAGUGCCAUUAGUCUCUGUAACUGAAGGAUGACAUUUAAAUGUUCCUAAGUCUACAUAUAUUAUUAGAAUUUAAGUCCAGGUAUAUAAAGCUAUCCCAUGUGCAAUGACUAUUUGGAACCUGUUUUCCUGGAAGCAGUAGCUUAGUGAGUUCCAGCACCUGAAAGCCAUGGCAACUGAGCUCUUUAAAAGACUAAGUCACUUUAGUCAGAAGUAAGGCCCUUUUGCUGUUAGGAAAAAAAAAACCAAAAACAAAACAACUCUUUACUUGUUCCUCUUACUGUUUUGUCUUUACUUCAGAGGUGAUGAAGGAAGCAAACCAAACAAGGGUUUUCUGUUGGUGCUUUCCCCCCUGAAGCUGUGAAUACUAAGCCCAGCAUAUUACCAGCAGCACAGCCACUUCCACCUCACUCUGUACAACUGGGAAGCCAGCUAAUAGUUUAACAGUUUGGAUCUGCUCCAGCUUUGCCAGUUAGCAGUUAUUCUCUCUUUGCUGAGGCAGCCAUCAAAACAAGGAAGAAAAGCUCAGUUUGCUUCCCUCUGGCUGUCAAAUUCAUGACUAGAGUAAUGAAAAAUACAUUCAAUACUGCAACUGCUCUCAACCAGCAAUUAACCCCCAGUUGCUCACUGCGUACACACAGUGCACACAUUCCUUCUGAGAUCUCCAGAUUUGGAAUAUAUAUGCAUGAUUAAAUAGUAACUGAAAGGAUAGUAAUAGUAACUGAAAUAAAAAGCACAAAACCCAAUAAAUCAGAGACUCCUUGAUAAUAUAUGUAGAAGCAAAAGUUUUCUGGAUGUUGAAAUGAUGGAACAGAAAUGUACUGAGUCUUACUCUGCAGAGAAACCCUCAUCAUACUCAGGAAAUCCUGUGACCUAAAAAAUGUUCGAGACAGAAAGUACUGGAAGCACAAAGGGGAAGGAAAUUUUUAUGUUCUCAUUCUGAUCUUAAUAUUUCUUAAGUAUCCUUUUAUGGUCACUGAGGUUUUUGUUUGUUUUUCCAGACUCUCUUCCUGGGGGUUGGGAUAGAGACAGGAUACAGAGCUGCAUGUGAUCCUUAAAAAGAACAUGGUUAUUUAUUCUAUGUUGUGCAUAUUUUUGUACUUCGAUUUAUGGCAAAAAGGAAAUGUAAUUGGUGCUGUAAGAAUUAUAGUGAUAUAUGUUAUUGAGCAAUUUAUCUUAAUAGCCAAAUUUUCAUCCAUGUUUACUUACAUAGCUAACAUUAGGAAACCCAGUAUUUUCUGAAGGUAGACUCAGUUUUUGCACAUCAGCAUGACAGGCAAAUGCACAUGGUUAGGAAUAUUUUGUCUUAUUCACAAAUGUGAAAAUAAAUCAGAACUGCAAUCCUUGA